UACAGAGGUCUCAAGCGUUGUUCGGAUUCAUUGGGCGUAAAGGGUGUGUAGGUGGCGCCGUAAGUCGGGUGUGAAAUUUCGGAGCUUAACUCCGAAACUGCAUUCGAUACUGCGGUGCUUGAGGACUGGAGAGGAGACUGGAAUUCAUGGUGUAGCAGUGAAAUGCGUAGAGAUCAUGAGGAAGACCAGUGGCGAAGGCGGGUCUCUGGACAGUAACUGACGCUGAGGAGCGAAAGCGUGGGGGAGCGAACAGG
rnacentral:rRNA from 1 species